rnacentral:rRNA from 1 species
GAUGAACGCUGGCGGCGUGCUUAACACAUGCAAGUCGAACGGGAAUUAUUUUAUUGAAACUUCGGUCGAUUUAAUUUAAUUCUAGUGGCGGACGGGUGAGUAACGCGUGGGUAACCUGCCUUAUACAGGGGGAUAACAGUCAGAAAUGGCUGCUAAUACCGCAUCAGCGCACAGAGCUGCAUGGCUCAGUGUGAAAAACUCCGGUGGUAUAAGAUGGACCCGCGUUGGAUUAGCUGGUUGGUGGGGUAACGGCCCACCAAGGCGACGAUCCAUAGCCGGCCUGAGAGGGUGAACGGCCACAUUGGGACUGAGACACGGCCCAGACUCCUACGGGAGGCAGCAGUGGGGAAUAUUGCACAAUGGGGGAAACCCUGAUGCAGCGACGCCGCGUGAAGGAAGAAGUAUCUCGGUAUGUAAACUUCUAUCAGCAGGGAAGAUAGUGACGGUACCUGACGAAGAAGCCCCGGCUAACUACGUG